UUCUUUUUUUUCUUCUUCUUCUUCAUUUCUCAUUCUUCUUCUCUUUCUUUCUUCUCCGCUCUUCUUCUGUAAACGUUUGAGAGGUAAGUUGAGAUCCGAUUUGAGAGAAUCAAUUGAGGUUAGUAUACAUAUGCUGAAGGUGAUGGUGCUGCUGCGAAUUAGGAAGAGAACUAUAAGGAAUCGAAGAUAUAAAUCAAGGGAAAUUCAGUUAGGGUUUUCUAAACUCAUUAACUGAAUUCGUAUGCAAUUGAUAUGGUACUUAGGUUUCUGCUAGAGGAAUAUGACAAGGGUUGUGGUUGAAUUGAAGCUUAGUAGUUGACGCGUUGUAGAAUUGAAGAAUUGGGGUUUCGAAAUGUUGGUUUGAAACUCAAUUCGAGAGAUUAAUCGUAAGAUUUGUGUUCGAUAGAUGGUAGAACAGAUCAUGGGGUUUAUAUUGGUGGUGGUACUGGCUCAAGCGGCUGAUACAGAACUUGGAGAAAAGGUAAUUAGGGUUCUUUAAAAUUGAAGAUUAAAUUGUGUGAUUUUGAGUAAUUGUUUGAGAAACUAGUGAUGGGUAAUUUGAUUUGAGAGCAAGGAAGAAGAAUUAACAACUGAUUUCCAAUUCAGAGUGAAAAAUCGAGGAAUUAGGGUUUUGAGAUUGAUGAGUGCAUGUUGAAAUUGAUAAGUGAUUCGGGUUGUUGUUAGAUGGAGAUUGAGAGGGUUUUUGUUUAAUUGAAGCUCUGGUGUUGAUUCUUGGUUAAACAGACUUAGGGUUUGAGGCUGGGUUCUGACCAUGGAAGGAUAGAGUAAUUAAAGUUGGAUUUGAGUGAUUGGUGAUGAAGAACCAAAGGGUUGAUGUUGAUUUGUUGAUGCGAAGCUGUUCUUAUGAAGAAUUGGGUUACUGUUCUUGGUUUGAAUUAGAGAAGUCAUGAGUUGGGUAUUAAGUUAGGGCUCACUGGGGAAAUUAUGCAGGUGAUGAAGAUUGGUGAAUACUGGUUGAGUGGAACUAAUAUACUGAAUUGAAGUAGAGAAGAAUUCAAUCCUAAACUGCCUUAGGAAGAUGCUAGUUGAGUUCAAGUUAAAGAAUAAUGAAUUUCCUUGGUUUCAAUGGAACCAUUGGAGGUAAUUAUUCCCUGAGAUGUUUUAUCUUAGCUACUCAAUUUUAUUGAAUGAGUUUAUGUGCUUGAUAUUUGAAUUAAGAAUUAAGAUGUAUGUGUAUAGAACUGGCAUUUCAAGUUAUGAUAAUGAACACUAAGAUGUGUUUGUGAUGGACUGAGUUUAGAGAAAUGGAAAUUAGAUGAAUGAAUGUGUCGAAGUUGAGAAUAGACUUGCAGAUGAGUUGGUAAAUGCUGGAAUUGUAAUUGCAGGACUGAAGUUGCAGUUAGUGUUGGCUGAGAGAGUAUUGGAGUAGCAGGUGAUAAGGAAAGUGAAAUGGCAGAACUUGUAGAGAAGAGACGAGUUAAUGAUGAACUGAUGGAUUAGUCACAGUUGAGCUUGUGUUUGUUUAGGCUGAGUUGGUUUGUUUGUUUUGGUUGAUUUGAAAUUGGGAAUGAGGGUUAGAUGAAGGUGUUGCUUGAAUCUGUAAGGGAAAGCUUGGUACUUCUUUUGCAGUGGAUCGUGGAUCUCGAGGUAGGCGUGGCUUGUCAUCAAAAAAGUUUCAGAGACAGAUCAGAGUUGCGCUGCGGAAGCUUCGAGGAGCUGAGUUCGU